CGGACGGGUGAGUAACGCGUGAGAAUCUAGCUUCAGGUCUGGGACAACCACUGGAAACGGUGGCUAAUACCGGAUGUGCCGGAAGGUGAAAGGCUUGCUGCCUGAAGAUGAGCUCGCGUCCGAUUAGCUAGUAGGUGGGGUAAGAGCCUACCUAGGCGACGAUCGGUAGCUGGUCUGAGAGGAUGACCAGCCACACUGGGACUGAGACACGGCCCAGACUCCUACGGGAGGCAGCAGUGGGGAAUUUUCCGCAAUGGGCGAAAGCCUGACGGAGCAAUACCGCGUGAGGGAGGAAGGCUCUUGGGUUGUAAACCUCUUUUCUCAGGGAAGAACACAAUGACGGUACCUGAGGAAUCAGCAUCGGCUAACUCCGUGCCAGCAGCCGCGGUAAUACGGAGGAUGCAAGCGUUAUCCGGAAUGAUUGGGCGUAAAGCGUCCGCAGGUGGCUGUGUAAGUCUGCUGUCAAAGAGCAAAGCUCAACUUUGUAAAGGCAGUGGAAACUACACGGCUAGAGUGCGUUCGGGGCAGAGGGAAUUCCUGGUGUAGCGGUGAAAUGCGUAGAGAUCAGGAAGAACACCGGUGGCGAAGGCGCUCUGCUAGGCCGCAACUGACACUGAGGGACGAAAGCUAGGGGAGCGAAUGGGAUUAGAUACCCCAGUAGUC
rnacentral:rRNA from 1 species